AGGACGAACGCUGGCGGCGUACUUAACGCAUGCAAGUCGAACGAGCUCCAUCCACUAGCAAUAGUGGUGAAGAGCUAGUGGCGAACGGGUGCGUAACACGUGAGCAACCUGCCCCGAAGACCGGGAUAACAGCGGGAAACCGCUGCUAAUACCGGAUACCCCCAGACCCCCGCAUGAGGGACUGAGGAAAUGGAUUUCCGCGUUCGGGAGGGGCUCGCGGCCUAUCAGCUUGUUGGUGAGGUAACGGCUCACCAAGGCUCCGACGGGUAGCUGUCUGAGAGGACGAUCAGCCACACUGGACUGAGACACGGCCCAGACUCCUACGGGAGGCAGCAGGCGGGGAAUCGUUGCGCAAGUGGGACGAAAGCCGUGACGCAGUAACGCCGGCGGUGGGGAUGAAGUGCCGUUCGGUUACGUAAACCCCUUUCAGACGAGGAACGAAAUUGACGUACCUGCAAGAA
rnacentral:rRNA from 1 species